UUCCAUGUAAAUCCAUAGACUAUAAUAUUUAAAUAUAUAGAUAUAAGUACUAUAUAUAAUUCCUCUUAAUGAGAAGAUGAGUCACUCAUGAUUAUAUAGCUAGGGCUAAGAAGCAUUUGAAAGAAGAGACUAGAAAAUGUAUCACGCAAACUCUUUAGUGGAGAAGGAGCCUAAGUGAUUCAGGACUACGUACUUUUCUUGAUAACUUUUGUUAUUAUCGGUAUAAUUGUUAAUGUGUUUAACCGGUGUUUUUUCUUUAAAAAGAAUAAAAAAAUAACGGGUGUUUGAUGGAUUUGAAAGUCACCCACAGUAUAUAUAAUAAUUAAUAUGUAUAUUUUCUUCUAGAAAGAAAUACCAGAGUAAGUAAAAAGCCGGAUGUUCCGUUGUUGUUUUUAAUCAUCAUUAAAGUGCAUCCCCCUCCUCCCCGGCCAUUGUGUUUGUUUGUUUGUUUCCUUGGACUUUGUCCAAUAGCAAAAGCAUUGCACAUUGAUACACAAUCUCUAACAUAAUAAUAUCUUUGUCUAUCUGUUUUUAUAAUUAUCAUUAGAAAGUUCUGGGGCUACUGACAUUUGUGGGGUAGGGAUACAUUGCAACGGGAUGACUCUUUUAUAAUACUACACUAACAUAAUAAAUGAAGGAUAAUUUUUUAUUCUUUUAUGAGGAAGCUGUAUAUUGAUGGUAAGAAGUACGAGGAAUAAAUAGAGUUAGAUAAACGCUCAUCUCAUCAUCCAGGAGGCCGAGUGAGUGACUCACUCAAAAUUGUCCCCCGUAUCUAAUUAGUAUAUGCUUAUUCAUACAUUCUCAUAUUUGAUCCUACCCAUAUUUUUUAAAAUGAUUCAAUUUUUUUAAAAGGGAAUUCCCAUAUGAUUGGGCAAGAACACAAUGAUAAAUAGGAUUCCUCAUGAUGAUACAGCUAGUGAGCGAUCGAGUGAAUAAGUAUUGAGCGCUCGCUUAUACCAUCGAUCUACAAUUAUUGGAGAAUAACACACAUAACUCCCUACAUGAAAGUAUAUAUGUAUAUGAGACCACAUUUCAUUUAACAUGAUAACAAAUCUACAGAGUGGGGAUCCAAAGCCUGCAGAAGCAUCACUAAAUUACGACAAAUCCUUGAUACGCUGGUGAACAGAUCGUCAGCUCUUGACGAUGAAGACCGAGGCCAUGGAGUACUACGCUAUCAUGAUGGUAGCUUGAAGUGAAUCUAAAUUUGUAUAAGAAGUGCGACGGACAUUCUUCUCCAAGACGCUCCAAACUCCAUGGAGUUAAGGUCAGAGCUGAAGGCAGGCCAGAAGUCAAGCAUAUUGUUGCUCCAGAAGUUUUGGUUUUUCUUGGCUAUAUGGGAACUUUUAACACCAUUCCAUCCUUAAUGGACUUGUUGAUGUUGUAGGCUAUUGUAAGGUGUCUAGAUGGAGAUGCUAACGGACUCUGUAGGCUUCUCAGUUCUGACACAGACGCGGAGGAGAUCGUACAGGCGUUGCCUUUUUUGUUAUGUUUUGACAUUUUUACACUUAGAGACAUGAGAUAAAAUACAAAACUUGUUGAUUUUUUUUCCAGCUAUCUUUUGAUUGCGUAAUAAAACCUCGUAAUUAGAAA
rnacentral:lncRNA from 1 species